rnacentral:rRNA from 1 species
AUUGAACGCUGGCGGCAUGCCUUACACAUGCAAGUCGAACGGUAACAGGUCUUCGGAUGCUGACGAGUGGCGAACGGGUGAGUAAUACAUCGGAACGUGCCUAGUAGUGGGGGAUAACUACUCGAAAGAGUGGCUAAUACCGCAUGAGAUCUACGGAUGAAAGCAGGGGAUCGCAAGACCUUGUGCUACUAGAGCGGCCGAUGGCAGAUUAGGUAGUUGGUGGGAUAAAAGCUUACCAAGCCGACGAUCUGUAGCUGGUCUGAGAGGACGAUCAGCCACACUUGGACUGAGACACGGCCCAGACUCCUAAGGGAGGCAGCAGUGGGGACUUUUGGACAAUGGGCGCAAGCCUGAUCCAGCAAUGCCGCGUGCAGGAUGAAGGCCUUCGGGUUGUAAACUGCUUUUGUACGGAACGAAAAGCCCUGGGUUAAUACCCUGGGGUCAUGACGGUACCGUAAGAAUAAGCACCGGCUAACUACGUGCCAGCCGCCGCAGUAAUAC